GAUGAACGCUAGCGGCAGGCUUAACACAUGCAAGUCGAGGGGCAUCGAGAGUAGCAAUACUUGUCGGCGACCGGCGCAAGGGUGCGUAACACGUGAGCAACAUACCCGUUUCAGGAGGAUAACCGGAGGAAACUCUGCCUAAUACUCCAUGACAUCAUCAAACGGCAUCGUUUGAUGAUUAAAGAUUUAUCGGAAACGGCUUGGCUCGCGGGACAUUAGCUCGUUGGUGAGGUAACGGCUCACCAAGGCCACGAUGUCUAGGGGUUCUGAGAGGAAGGUCCCCCACACUGGAACUGAGACACGGUCCAGACUCCUACGGGAGGCAGCAGUGAGGAAUAUUGGACAAUGGUCGGAAGACUGAUCCAGCCAUGCCGCGUGAAGGUUACUGUCCUAUGGAUAUUAAACUUCUUUUGUAUGAGAGCAAUAAGGUGCACGCGUGCACCGAUGAGAGUAUCAUACGAAUAAGCAUCGGCUAA
rnacentral:rRNA from 1 species